rnacentral:rRNA from 1 species
CUUGGUCAUUUAGAGGAAGUAACGGUCGUAACAAGGUUUCCGUAGGUGAACCUGCGGAAGGAUCAUUAACAAAUCAUGAUUGCAGGCCGGCGGGGUAAAAGCCGCUAGCCUUGCAAAUAAGCCCGAACCUGUGUCUUCGGACCGGGUUAGGUGUGUUGAGUACUUCACGUGCCCAGCGGUGAAGGCAUUCGCCGGAUCCACAUAUACGCUUGUAUGUUUGACAGUUUACAGUUGACACUUAAAAAUGACAACUCUUAACAAUGGAUCUCUUGGCUCUUGCAACGAUGAAGAACGCAGUGAAAUGCGAAAAGUUACGCGAUUUGCAUGAAUCUGUGAGUCAUCAAGUUUUUGAACGCAUCUUGCACCAUAUGAGUAAUUGUAUGGUAUACCUGUUUGAGAAUCGUAAAAUCCCAUCCUAACCCUUUGUGGGUUAGGGAUUUGCUAGUGACCCUUGGGUCUCUGGUUAAAUGUAAUAGGUAAAGGAUUAGGUUAGUGGCCUAAGACACUGUGUGCUAGAGGUGAUAAGCCUUCUCACGGUGCGCCUUGGGUCUACAAAAGCUAGCCUAUGACUGGCCUUAACUGCUAUACGUAAUGUAUGCAACCCCCCGUCUUUGAUCUCAAAUCAGGUAAGGCUACCCGCUGAACUUAAGCAUAUCAAUAAGCGGAGGA